rnacentral:rRNA from 1 species
AGUCGCUAGUAAUCGCGGAUCAGCAACGCCGCGGUGAAUGCGUUCCCGGGCCUUGUACACACCGCCCGUCAAGUCAUGAAAGUGGGCAGCACCCGAAGACGGUGGCCUAACCCUUGUGGGGGGAGCCGUCUAAGGUGAGGCUCGUGAUUGGGACUAAGUCGUAACAAGGUAAC